GUAAACCACUCAUGAAUCUAGACUGUUUCAGCAUAUUACAGGUCUGAGUUAAAUCUUGUCCAAUGUUAAACUUUGAUUUCUAGUUUGAGAGAAUGAGGUGCAAAUCUAUAAGUACAUAUUUCACACAUUAUCUUUUUUUUUUUAUCUUUUUUUUACUGUAUAGUCAAGCUAGGGAUGCUUCUCCUGAGGAAGCAAUGGAAACUUUUGCAAUUUUAUUUUCUUCUGUUCAGAUAAGUCUUGCACCGCUUUCUAGAAGGCAUUAUGAGCAAAACCAGUUCAGGGGUUGCACAUGUUAGACUUAUUAGUGAAGCGAAGCAAACUGCUCAUCUGGUGAUGGUGAAUAUGCAAAUAUGUGUUAUGAUGUUGGAAACUCUAAACAGAAAGAAGCAGGCACAAGAUCUUCACUCAUUGGAGAGCCUGGUGCUCGGAAAAUAUCUUUCCACUCCUUCCAUUUACUCGAAAUAAGAUUAUGGCACAUGACUCUGCUACUGAACACUUGAAGCUUACCAUCACUCUCUUGCAUGGAGAACAUGGUCCACAGGCAUGAGAACAAUCUGGCAAGCUCGACCCCGUCGUAUGUAUCUCCUUCACAGCGUCCUGAUCUCUG